ensembl:lncRNA
GUCUAAAAGAGGACUGAACCAGGACUAAACCAGGACUAAAAGAGGACUAAACCAGGACUAAACCAGGUCUAAAACAGGACUAAUCCAGAACUAAUCCAGAACUAAACCAGGACUAAACCAGGACUAAAAGAGGACUAAACCAGGUCUAAACCAGGUCUAAACCAGGACUAAUCCAGAACUAAUCCAGGACUAAACCAGGACUAAACCAGGACUAAACCAGGACUAAACCAGGUCUAAACCAGGACUAAUCCAGGACUAAACCAGGACUAAACCAGGACUGAACCAGGACUAAAUCAGGACUAAACCAGGACUAAACCAGGACUAAACCAGGACUGAACCAGGACUAAACCAGGACUAAACCAGGACUAAAUCAGGACUAAACCAGGACUAAAUGAGGACUGAACCAGGACUAAACCAGGACUAAACCAGGACUGAACCAGGACUAAAUCAGGACUAAACCAGGACUGAACCAGGACUAAAUCAGGACUAAACCAGAACUAAACCAGGA